AACGAACGCUGGCGGCAGGCCUAACACAUGCAAGUCGAACGCUCGUAGCAAUACGGGAGUGGCAGACGGGUGAGUAACGCGUGGGAACGUACCUUUCGGUUCGGAAUAACCCGGGGAAACUCGGGCUAAUACCGGAUACGUCCUGCCCCUUAAACAAGGGUGGGAGAAAGAUUUAUCGCCGAAAGAUCGGCCCGCGUCGGAUUAGCUAGUUGGCGGGGUAACGGCCACCAAGGCGACGAUCCGUAACUGGUCUGAGAGGANGAUCAGCCACACUGGGACUGAGACACGGCCCAGACUCCUACGGGAGGCAGCAGUGGGGAAUAUUGGACAAUGGGCGAAAGCCUGAUCCAGCCAUGCCGCGUGAGUGAAGAAGGCCUUAGGGUUGUAAAGCUCUUUCAGCGGGAAGAUAAUGACGGUACCCGCAGAAGAAGUCCCGGCUAACUUCGUGCCAGCAGCCGCCGCAGUAC
rnacentral:rRNA from 1 species